UACGUAGGGAGCAAGCGUUGUUCGGAUUUACUGGGCGUAAAGGGCGCGUAGGCGGCAUAUUAAGUCAGCUGUGAAAUCUCCGAGCUUAACUCGGAACUGUCAGCUGAUACUGAUGUGCUAGAGUGCAGAAGGGGCAAUCGGAAUUCUUGGUGUAGCGGUGAAAUGCGUAGAUAUCAAGAGGAACACCUGAGGUGAAGACGGGUUGCUGGGCUGACACUGACGCUGAGGCGCGAAAGCCAGGGGAGCAAACGGG
rnacentral:rRNA from 1 species